rnacentral:rRNA from 1 species
UACAGAGGUCCCAAGCGUUGUUCGGAUUUACUGGGCGUAAAGGGAGCGUAGGUGGCAUUCCAAGUCUGAUGUGAAAGCUCUGAGCUUAACUCAGAAAUGGCAUUAGAUACUGGUUUGCUCGAGGAUUGGAGGGGAGAUUGGAAUUCUUGGUGUAGCAGUGAAAUGCGUAGAUAUCAAGAGGAACACCAGUGGCGAAGGCGAAUCUCUGGACAAUUCCUGACACUGAUGCUCGAAAGCUAGGGGAGCAAACGGG